CGCGGCGCUCCCACGGGGUUUAGGCGCAGGCGGCUCAGGGGCCGCCCUGGGCUCCCCAGGGAGUGGAAAACACCACUUGAAACAUUAUUAUUAUUAAUUAUUGUAUUAUUAUUAAUAAUAAUGGUUGGACCGCUAAAAUCUCCGCGUAGCUGUUGGGCACGGCGGCCUGCGCACCGUUGUGAUAACCGGGCUUCAAACUGUUAUGCAGCUUAAGCAGCUGCGAAGGGAUCGCUGCAAAUCAAAGGUCCCAGGUGGCACAGAGCUCCCUGGAAGAUGAAGCCUGUACAGGCAAAAGGGUUUGCAGGUUUCACCGCAGGCAGGGGCUUGCUGGGGCAGCAGUAGUUGCCUGAAGAAAAGGAAUAAGCUGUUGGUGCUGCUUGGAAGAUCCCCGUUUGAAAGAGAUUUGAGGAGAUGGAAACUCAUAAUCCACAAUUUAAAUGGGACUACUUCUAGAAAAGUGUUUGUUUUCAGGAUUUGGAUAUAGUAACUCAAAAUGGCAAAGGGUAGUUGAGGGCAAGGUAUAGCAAGAAAUAUAUAUACAAUUUGUUAGUAGUAUGUUAAUCCCCUCCCACUCCUUGUUUGAAGUUGUGGAUUAUUUUUUUAGUGAACUAUUUAUUAACUCUAUUAAAUUUAUAUUUAUUAAACUUACUUCUAUUUAAA